rfam:Aspergillus versicolor CBS 583.65 unplaced genomic scaffold ASPVEscaffold_2, whole genome shotgun sequence.
GGUUCCAUAACUCAGUCGGUUAGAGUGUCGUGCUAAUAACGCGAAAGUCGAGGGUUCGACCCCCUCUGGGACCA